rnacentral:rRNA from 1 species
CAGCCCUUGACAUGUCCCGUAUGGGGUCGAGAGAUCGGCUUCUUCAGUUCGGCUGGCGGGAACACAGGUGCUGCAUGGCUGUCGUCAGCUCGUGUCGUGAGAUGUUGGGUUAAGUCCCGCAACGAGCGCAACCCUCAUCUUCAGUUGCCAUCGGGUCACGCCGGGCACUCUGAAGGAACUGCCGGUGACAAGCCGGAGGAAGGCGGGGAUGACGUCAAGUCCUCAUGGCCUUUAUGGGCUGGGCUACACACGUGCUACAAUGGCGGUGACAGAGGGAUGCGAAGGGGCGACCCUUGGCCAAUCUCGAAAAGCCGUCUCAGUUCGGAUUGUUCUCUGCAACUCGAGAGCAUGAAGCUGGAAUCGCUAGUAAUCGCGGAUCAGCAUGCCGCGGUGAAUA